AUGGAUAUUCUCCUUGUUUUGAUCCUGUGUCUCUGUUUACCCAGUUAUUUCAGUCAGUCGGUGACACAGAGCCCGGCAACGGUGACCAGGAAGGAGUGUCAGUCCGUCAGCAUCAACUGUGAGUUUAGUAGUCCCUAUUCGGAUGAUUAUUUUAGGGGUGGACAUUUCUUCAAACACACGCGGACAGCGAAGGAGUGGGAGCGGAUCACCAGCGGCGGGAGAUUUGUUGUGUCCACGAAUGAAGCACAAAAGACAUUUUCGUUGGAAAUUCGGGAUAUCAGAGUUGAAGACACUGCCACCUAUUACUGUAAGGCUCAGUACUACAGACACAGUGAUGGAGCUCGGCUUCACGUCGCACAAAAUCUGUCACUGGAGAUCAUCUCAGAAACAAAUUGA